rnacentral:lncRNA from 1 species
CUGGAAAUGAACCUACUGUUUUGUUUUGUUUUUUUUUAAGUUCAUACCUCCUCUGAACUAGAUAGGCAUUUAAGUGAUAAAGCAGAGGAAGCAAGAAGGAGAUAUCAAUGAGAAAUGAUUGGUUGGUUGGAUCAUGGCAUGUACCUACCUCACUUCAAAAAGUGAUUUAGGAUAUGUUAUUUUAAAAAUACGUGUUCUAUAUUGUGGUAGGCCGAGUGGUAGUCCUCCAAAGAGGUCCAUGUCUUAAUCCUCAGAACAUGUGAAUAUGUCACCUUGCAUGGUAAAAGGAACUUUGCAGAUGUGACUAAGUUAAGGAUCUUGAGAUGAGAGAUUAGCCUGUAUUAUGCAGGUGGGCCUGAUGUAAUUGUAAGGUUCCUUACAAAAAGGAGGGAGGAGUUCAGAGAGAGGAGAAGAGAAUUUGUUAAGGAAAGCAGAUAUUGGAAUGAUAUGGCCAUAGCCAAGGAAACUGGCAGCCACUGGAAGCUGGGUGAGGCAAGGAAUAUUCCCUCUGAAGCCAUCAGAAGGAAUCAGCCCUGCUGACACCUUGAUUUUAGCCCUAUAAGAUUCAUUUCUGAUUUCUGACUUCCAAAGUUUAAGAGAAGAAUAAAUAUGUGUUGUCUUAAAUCACUGCAUUUGUGGUAAUUUGUUACAAUAGCAACAAGAAAUUAAUUGAAGGAGAAGAAAAUAAAGAGGGGAAAAUAUGAUGAAGCAAUAGCUUACUCUUUCUUGUGUCUAAUUUUAUUGAAAUACUAAUUUGAAAGCAAGAUUUACUUCUUAUAAACUCUAUGUAGACUGUGCACUUGAAAGCUUACCAAACAAAA